rnacentral:rRNA from 1 species
CAACGCUGCGUGUGUGAAGAAGGUUUUCGGAUUGUAAAGCACUUUCGGCGGGGACGAUGAUGACGGUACCCGCAGAAGAAGCCCCGGCUAACUUCGUGCCAGCAGCCGCGGUAAUACGAAGGGGGCUAGCGUUGCUCGGAAUGACUGGGCGUAAAGGGCGCGUAGGCGGUUGACACAGUCAGGUGUGAAAUUCCCGGGCUUAACCUGGGGGCUGCAUUUGAGACGUGUUGACUAGAGUGUGAGAGAGGGUUGUGGAAUUCUCAGUGUAGAGGUGAAAUUCGUAGAUAUUGGGAAGAACACCGGUGGCGAAGGCGGCAACCUGGCUCAUAACUGACGCUGAGGCGCGAAAGCGUGGGGAGCAAACAGGAUUAGAUACCCUGGUAGUCCACGCUGUAAACGAUGUGUGCUGGAUGUUGGGUAACUUAGUUACUCAGUGUCGUAGCUAACGCGAUAAGCA